rnacentral:rRNA from 1 species
AGAGUUUGAUCCUGGCUCAGGACGAACGCUGGCGGCGUGCUUAACACAUGCAAGUCGAACGGAAAGGCCCUGCUUGCAGGGUACUCGAGUGGCGAACGGGUGAGUAACACGUGGGUGAUCUGCCCUGCACUUCGGGAUAAGCUUGGGAAACUGGGUCUAAUACCGGAUAGGAGCCAUCUUUAGUGUGGUGGUUGGAAAGUUUUUUCGGUGUAGGAUGAGCUCGCGGCCUAUCAGCUUGUUGGUGGGGUAAUGGCCUACCAAGGCGGCGACGGGUAGCCGGCCUGAGAGGGUGUACGGCCACAUUGGGACUGAGAUACGGCCCAGACUCCUACGGGAGGCAGCAGUGGGGAAUAUUGCACAAUGGGCGCAAGCCUGAUGCAGCGACGCCGCGUGGGGGAUGAAGGCCUUCGGGUUGUAAACUCCUUUCGCUAGGGACGAAGCUUUGUGUGACGGUACCUAGAUAAGAAGCACCGGCUAACUACGUGCCAGCAGCCGCGGUAAUACGUAGGGUGCGAGCGUUGUCCGGAAUUACUGGGCGUAAAGAGCUCGUAGGUGGUUUGUCGCGUCGUCUGUGAAAUUCUGGGGCUUAACUCCGGGCGUGCAGGCGAUACGGGCAUAACUUGAGUGCUGUAGGGGUAACUGGAAUUCCUGGUGUAGCGGUGAAAUGCGCAGAUAUCAGGAGGAACACCGAUGGCGAAGGCAGGUUACUGGGCAGUUACUGACGCUGAGGAGCGAAAGCAUGGGUAGCGAACAGGAUUAGAUACCCUGGUAGUCCAUGCCGUAAACGGUGGGCGCUAGGUGUGAGGGUCUUUCUACGACUUUCGUGCCGUAGCUAACGCAUUAAGCGCCCCGCCUGGGGAGUACGGCCGCAAGGCUAAAACUCAAAGGAAUUGACGGGGGCCCGCACAAGCGGCGGAGCAUGUGGAUUAAUUCGAUGCAACGCGAAGAACCUUACCUGGGCUUGACAUACAUCAGAUUGGGCUAGAGAUAGUUCGUCCCUUUGUGGUUGGUGUACAGGUGGUGCAUGGUUGUCGUCAGCUCGUGUCGUGAGAUGUUGGGUUAAGUCCCGCAACGAGCGCAACC